rnacentral:lncRNA from 1 species
CCCAGUUACUAUGCAGAUACUAUCAGCUGGCUUCACGUGAGAUCUGAUAUAAUCAGCCUCUGUUAACAUAGUGCUGAGUAGGGAAACUGCACUUAGACAAAUAGGAUGAAGUAUUACAAAUAUUACCUUAAGAGUCUGCAUUGCACCCUUGUAUGCUGGAAGUGGUAAGAAGCAGUGCAGAGAAAGGAAAGGCUGGUUUUAGGUUUUGGAAACCUUGAAGAUUUGGCCUUCACCAUCCUGUACAGAUCCUGAGAGAAAUUGCAGCAUUAAUCCCUUUCAUCAGUUUCUCAAGAUCUUUCUUAGAACUGGUUGUGUUUGUUUUUGGUGUCUUCCUGAGUUGAUCCUGGGAGCAAUGCCUACUGAAGUGCACACCAAAGAUUAAAUCAGCUUGUGUUCUUUUGGAAGAGAGGUGGAGGUGUCUUCAUGGGACUUAUUAAUGACCUCCAGAAAGAAUAUUAAUGUGCAGGAAGAAAAAGAGGAAUGAUAAGCAGGCUCCCAGAAACCAUCUGGGAAAAAAAGUAUCAAGAUACUAGGAGAAAGGUGAACAAUUUGUGUGAGAAGAGUCUAUUUGAAUUUGAGAGAGCUGCAAGUCACGAAGAAUCACCACUGUUACUGAAAAGGGUGGGCUCCACCAGUGCUGUUAUUUUCCUUCCCUACGUGUCAGAUGUUGCUGAGAUGAAUUCUUUUGCUCAACACACCCUACCCAUUCCGGAUUUCCAGGAUAGAACAGAACAGGAUAUUCAAAGUUGGAGGGGAGGAUUGCCACAAGGAUCAUCGAGUCCAAUUCAUGGCUACACAUGGGACUACCUAAAAAUUAAACCAUGUGUCUGAGAGCAGUGUCCAAACACUUCCUGAACUCAUGACUGAGGCCAUGGCUAUUUCUCUGAGGAGCCUGUUGGCUCUGAAGGGGUGGCAGAGCCACCCCUUCAGAGAAGAACCUUUUCCUGAUAUCUAGCCUGAACCUCUCCUGCUGCAGCUUCAUGCUGUUCCCUGGUGCUGGUCACCAUGAAGAAGAGAUCAGUUGCUUUCC